rnacentral:rRNA from 1 species
UGGGGAAUAUUGCACAAUGGGCGCAAGCCUGAUGCAGCGACGCCGCGUGAGGGAUGACGGCCUUCGGGUUGUAAACCUCUUUCAAUAGGGACGAAGCGCAAGUGACGGUACCUAUAGAAGAAGGACCGGCCAACUACGUGCCAGCAGCCGCGGUCAUACGUAGGGUCCGAGCGUUGUCCGGAAUUACUGGGCGUAAAGAGCUCGUAGGUGGUUUGUCGCGUUGUUCGUGAAAACCCACAGCUUAACUGUGGGCGUGCGGGCGAUACGGGCAGACUUGAGUACUGCAGGGGAGACUGGAAGUCCUGGUGUAGCGGUGGAAUGCGCAGAUAUCAGGAGGAACACCGGUGACGAAGGCGGGUCUCUGGGCAGUAACUGACGCUGAGGAGCGAAAGCGUGGGGAGCGAACA